UACGGGAGGCAGCAGUGAGGAAUAUUGGUCAAUGGACGAGAGUCUGAACCAGCCAAGUCGCGUGAAGGAAGACGGUUCUAUGGAUUGUAAACUUCUUUUGUCCGAGGGUAAAGUUAGGUACGUGUACCUAUUGGAAAGUAUCGGACGAAUAAGCAUCGGCUAACUCCGUGCCAGCAGCCGCGGUAAU
rnacentral:rRNA from 1 species